rnacentral:rRNA from 1 species
GAUGAACGCUAGCGGGAGGCCUAACACAUGCAAGCCGAGCGGUAUUGUUUCUUCGGCAAUGAGAGAGCGGCGUACGGGUGCGUAACACGUGUGCAACCUGCCUUUAUCUGGGGGAUAGCCUUUCGAAAGGAAGAUUAAUACUCCAUAAUAUAUUGAACGGCAUCGUUUAAUAUUGAAAGCUCCGGCGGAUAAAGAUGGGCACGCGCAAGAUUAGCUAGUUGGUGAGGUAACGGCUCACCAAGGCGAUGAUCUUUAGGGGGCCUGAGAGGGUGAUCCCCCACACUGGUACUGAGACACGGACCAGACUCCUACGGGAGGCAGCAGUGAGGAAUAUUGGUCAAUGGGUGCAAGCCUGAACCAGCCAUCCCGCGUGAAGGACGACUGCCCUAUGGGUGGUAAACUUCUUUUGUAUAGGGAUAAACCUACCCUCGAGAGGGUAGCUGAAGGUACUAUACGAAUAAGCACCGGCUAACUCCGUG